rnacentral:misc_RNA from 1 species
GAGUGGAUAAGAGGGGAGAGAAGAGAGAGACAGAGAGAGACUGUUGUUGUCAUAAAAAUAUAAAUAUAAUGAAUAGUGAUACAUUGAGAUGCAAUUAUAUUAUUAAUAAUAACAGUUUAUCAUCAUCAUCAUAAUCAUAAUAUGGUGGUAGUAUUAGUAGUGAAAUUUGGAGAGAGAGGGAGAGAGAUAGAGAGAUGGAAGCACAAACAAUGGACUUUAGUUACAUGAAGUAAUAUGAUAAAAAUAUGGGGCCACAGGCACAGUUCAGUGCAUGUUGGGAGUUGUAGAAGAAAAUUGUUGUUGUUUUCUCUAUUUCUUUUGAUAUUUUUAUGCACCUUUCAAGUUCCUGCUUUUCUUCAUGACAUCGAUCUUUGUGUUUACUGUAUCUACUUUCCCAGGAGGAUGGCUUUUGAGACAGCUUUCCUGAUUACAUGUUGUUAUGGCCUGGCUGGCUGAGACCAUAACAAUAAUAAUAAUACAUGUAUUUAUACAUAAAAUGCAGCUAAAAUGUAUUAUCAUAGCAACAGGUCUUGAUUUGUUUCUUAAAACUAUCAACAGAAGAAGCAUGUCUGAUGUGUGGUGGGAGUUUGUUCCAAACCUUUGGAUAGCAUAGCAUAGGAAAGCAUAGCAAGAGAAAGCUGCUUCCCCAAACCUUUUAUUGUUUGUUUUGGGGACAUUGAGCAAGCCCGCUGUAGACGACCUGAGGGAAUGAUUCGUAACAUAUUCCGAUAAACAGUCAGAGAUGUAUGACGGUGCUGUACCAUUAAGAGAAUUAAAAACAAGUAAAAUAAUUUUAAAAUCAAUCCUCAGUGAUGCUAGAAGCCAGUGUAAAGACACUAAAAUAAGAGUAAUAUGGAAUCUUUUCCUAUUUCUCAUUAAAACCAUGGCUGCUGGAUUUUGCAAAAGCUGUAGGCGAUCGAUGGAUUUUUUCGGUAAUCCUGAAUAUAGUGCAUUACAGUAGUCCAGGCGAGAAAGUAUAAAAGCAUGAAUCAACUUUUUGGCAGUUUCCAAAGUGAGGUACAGUCUUACUCUUGCAAUGUUUCUUAAAUGAUAAAAGGCAAUCUUUGUGACAUUGUUUAUGUGUGGAUUAAAAUCUAGUCCUGAGUAACACCCAGGUUCUUUAUUUUUGAUUUGUUUUGCUGCUCCAACUUUGCCGAUAAUCUUUUGUCCUUGAACAUUACAAGAUUUUCAGUUUUAUUUUCACAGGCAAUUUAUAACUUGGUUUGGCGCAUCAGAGUCAUCUGGCACUAAAUAAGGGAAGACACAUGAUGGAUCAGAUUUUUCUAACAAAAAGUAAUUUUCAAAGAACUAAAACAAAAAAGAAAUUCAACUGAUAAGGCUGACAGGAACUGAAUUCCAGACCAAAACAAGAUCAAAUUAAUGCUACAGAAAUCAAAACUCAUCUGAAUGGCAGGAUGAGCAUGGCUAUUAUUAUAUGAGGCAGUGGCCAGCUACCUCUACUUCACUGAUGGCCCCCAGCUCCAGCCAAAGCAGGAUCUUGCAACACAAGACACACAAGCAAGUAUACCUAGGCAAGAUGCUGAACCCCAAAUUGCCCUUCAUUGAAAAAAAAACUGUAUGAAUAUGUGUGUGAAUGGGUGAAUUGCAAACUGUAUUGUAAAGUGCUUUGAGUGAUCAUCAAGACUAGAAAGGUGCUAUAUAAAUACAAUCCAUUCACAAGCUCUCACAUCACAGUGUGAAUUCAAUUUACUUGAACCCCCAAUGCAUACAGAUAUGCCACAUCAGCAGGGGUGCUGAAGGUGUUUAUCACAUGACUUAGUGAAUAAUUGGAGCAUAAUUGUAUAAUAAAUUAGCCUGUCCAGGACUUCCUGGAGUUGUAUUCACAUUUAUUUUCACAGAGACCCCUCCAUCGGCAAAGAGAUGAGUAGAUAAUGAGUGAAUUUUCUUUUUGCGUUGAACUAUCCAUUUAAGUGAUGAUUCAAAACCUAAACUCUGAAUGUUGACCAUUAGAAAGAAUUGUACCGCCU